rfam:Myotis davidii contig93799, whole genome shotgun sequence.
GGCAGUUUUCGGGUGACAUACCCCGGAAUCAGGCUCCCUCCUCUCUGGUUCCAGCUGUGGCACCCGAGAACCCCA